GAUGAACGCUAGCUACAGGCUUAACACAUGCAAGUCGAGGGGAAACGAUAGAGAAAGCUUGCUUUUUCUAGGCGUCGACCGGCGCACGGGUGAGUAACGCGUAUCCAACCUGCCCACCACUUGGGGAUAACCUUGCGAAAGUAAGACUAAUACCCAAUGAUAUCUCAAGAAGACAUCUGAAUGAGAUUAAAGAUUUAUCGGUGAUGGAUGGGGAUGCGUCUGAUUAGCUUGUUGGCGGGGUAACGGCCCACCAAGGCGACGAUCAGUAAGGGUUCUGAGAGGAAGGUCCCCCACAUUGGAACUGAGACACGGUCCAAACUCCUACGGGAGGCAGCAGUGAGGAAUAUUGGUCAAUGGGCGAGAGCCUGAACCAGCCAAGUAGCGUGCAGGAUGACGGCCCUAUGGGUUGUAAACUGCUUUUAUAAGGGAAUAAAGUGGGUCUCGUGAGACUUUUUGCAUGUACCUUAUGAAUAAGGACCGGCUAAUUCCGUGCCAGCAGCCGCCGUAA
rnacentral:rRNA from 1 species